UACGUAGGGGGCAAGCGUUGUCCGGAUUUAUUGGGCGUAAAGAGCGUGUAGGCGGUUUGGUAGGUCCGCUGUGAAAACUCGAGGCUCAACCUCGAGACGCCGGUGGAAACCAUCAGACUAGAGUCCGGAAGAGGAGAGUGGAAUUCCUGGUGUAGCGGUGAAAUGCGCAGAUAUCAGGAAGAACACCCGUGGCUAAGGCGGCUCCCUAGUACGGUACUGACGCUGAGACGCGAAAGCGUGGGGAGCGAACAGG
rnacentral:rRNA from 1 species